rnacentral:rRNA from 1 species
AUGGCCACCGUAUUGAGCAGCCUCCGCUUGCCCUUCUCCGUCUGCCCCGCCGCCCCUUCGGCGCCCAUGGCAUCCCGCGUCGCGCUCCCGCCGUCGUCGACGGCCGCCAGGGGCAUGAGGCUCCGCGCGCAGGCGACGUACAAGGUGAAGCUGAUCACGCCGGAGGGCGAGGUGGACCUCGAGGUCCCCGACGACGUCUACAUCCUCGACCACGCCGAGGAGGAAGGGAUCGACCUGCCCUACUCCUGCCGCGCCGGCUCCUGCUCCUCCUGCGCCGGGAAGGUGGUCUCCGGCCAGCUGGACCAGUCCGACCAGAGCUUCCUCGACGACGACCAGAUCGAGGCGGGGUGGGUGCUCACCUGCGCCGCGUACCCCACCUCGGACCUCGUCAUCGAGACCCACAAGGAGGAGGAGCUCACCGCUUGA